rnacentral:rRNA from 1 species
GGAGGGUGCGAGCCGUUGUUCGGAAUUACUGGGCGUAAAGCGCGUGUAGGCGGCCUUGCAAGCCAGACGUGAAAGCCCUCGGCUUAACCGGGGAAGUGCGUCUGGAACUGCUCGGCUCGAGUACGGAAGAGAGAGAUGGAAUUCCCAGGUGUAGUGGUGAAAUACGUAGAUAUCUGGAAGAACACCAGUGGCGAAGGCGGUCUCUUGGUCCAUUACUGACGCUAAGGCGCGAAAGCGUGGGGAGCAAACAGGAUUAGAUACCCUGGUAGUCCACGCUGUAAACGAUGAAUACUAGGUGUCGGAUCGAAAGGUUCGGUACCGAAGCUAACGCAUUAAGUAUUCCACCUGGGGAGUACGAUCGCAAGGUUG